GCCUGGGUGGCUCAGUCAGUUAAGCUUCUGACUUGGGCUCAGGUCAUGAUCUCACUGUUCGUGGGUUCGAGCCCCACAUCAGGCU
rnacentral:tRNA from 1 species